CCCUUAGAUGUUCUGGGCCGCACGCGCGCUACACUGACGAUGGCAACGAGUUUUUCCUUCGCCGAAAGGUGUGGGUAAUCUUUUGAAACAUCGUCGUGCUGGGGAUAGAUCAUUGCAAUUUUUGAUCUUGAACGAGGAAUUCCUAGUAAGCGCGAGUCAUCAGCUCGCGUUGAUUACGUCCCUGCCCUUUGUACACACCGCCCGUCGCUACUACCGAUUGAAUGGUCCGGUGAAGCCUCGGGAUUGUGGCCAGUUCACUUUAUUGGGAGUUGGCUGCGAGAACUUGUCUAAACCUUAUCAUUUAGAGGAAGGUGAAGUCGUAACA
rnacentral:rRNA from 1 species